GGGGGUGGCAGGAGUGGAACUGGCUGGAAAGAGCUGCUUGCUGAUUUUCAGCUUAGUGUUGAAGUGACUUUUGCACACUGGAUUGUUCUUUGCGGCGUGUUGGUGCGGCACUCUCAGAAUUAAUGGUGUUGUAAAAUGUAUACUCAGUGGAUCAAACAAACACUGCCAGCUGUUUCUUUGGCUUUUGACCAUCCUGUGGUAGAUGUUCUGAUGCCACCAGUAGGACAGGACAGCCUGUACGAAGGACCUCCUAUGUGACUGGAAGACCGCAAAUACGAAGUGAUGAAUGAUGGGCAGCCUUAGAAGGGCCCAUUAGACCGAGGACACGACAAAUGGACCGUUUCUACCGAGAAUGUCAAGAAACGAGAAGGGAUGAAUGAUGAUCAGCAUUAAAAGGACUGCCUGUAGCACCGGUUGAUCGCCUACAAGACCAGAAGAUGGUCCAUAUCCACUGUAUCGAAAAACCAGAAGUGUAGGAUGAUCAGCCCUAGAAGUUUACUGUCACUCAUCGGACUUUUCGCAAGAAGGUGCUGGUGUUAUCAGUAAGUCUACCACAGCAGGUAGAAGGUCAAAUAAACAGCUAGUAGAGUUUGUUUGAUCCAUUUUUGAGUAUACAUUUUGCAGCCUCGUUGUAACAGU